rnacentral:tRNA from 1 species
AGCUCAGUUGGUAAGAGCACCGUAUCCAAGGGUCACGGGUUCGACUCCCGUACUUG